rnacentral:rRNA from 1 species
GACGAACGCUGGCGGCGUGCCUAAUACAUGCAAGUAGAACGCUGAAGAGAGGAGCUUGCUCUUCUUGGAUGAGUUGCGAACGGGUGAGUAACGCGUAGGUAACCUGCCUUGUAGCGGGGGAUAACUAUUGGAAACGAUAGCUAAUACCGCAUAACAAUGGAUGACACAUGUCAUUUAUUUGAAAGGGGCAAUUGCUCCACUACAAGAUGGACCUGCGUUGUAUUAGCUAGUAGGUGAGGUAAUGGCUCACCUAGGCGACGAUACAUAGCCGACCUGAGAGGGUGAUCGGCCACACUGGGACUGAGACACGGCCCAGACUCCUACGGGAGGCAGCAGUAGGGAAUCUUCGGCAAUGGGGGCAACCCUGACCGAGCAACGCCGCGUGAGUGAAGAAGGUUUUCGGAUCGUAAAGCUCUGUUGUAAGUCAAGAACGGGUGUGAGAGUGGAAAGUUCACACUGUGACGGGAGCUUACCAGAAAGGGACGGCUAACUACG